rnacentral:rRNA from 1 species
AUCGUUUAUGUUGAUAGUACCCUGCUACUUGGAUACCUGUGGCAAUUCUAGAGCUAAUACAUGCUAAAAACCUCGACUUCGGAAGGGGUGUAUUUAUUAGAUAAAAAACCAAUGCCCUUCGGGGCUCCGUGGUGAAUCAUAAUAACUCAACGAAUCGCAUGGCCUUGCGCCGGCGAUGGUUCAUUCAAAUUUCUGCCCUAUCAACUUUCGAUGGUAGGAUAGUGGCCUACCAUGGUUUCUACGGGUAACGGGGAAUUAGGGUUCGAUUCCGGAGAGGGAGCCUGAGAAACGGCUACCACAUCCAAGGAAGGCAGCAGGCGCGCAAAUUACCCAAUCCCGACACGGGGAGGUAGUGACAAUAAAUACUGAUGUGGAGCUCUUUUGGGUUUCGCAAUUGGAAUGAGUACAAUUUAAAUCCCUUAACGAGGAACAAUUGGAGGGCAAGUCUGGUGGACUCCCAUGCUGGCACCAGAGAGUGGGGAACCGGGUGCCCGACGGGCGCCUGGUCCCCGAGUCGCUCCGGCGGCGAGGCACUUGGUUCGGGGGACGCUGCCGGACGGUGGCUAUCUCGCAGCGAGGACGAUCGGUCCCGUUGUAACGCGCGCAAAAGUGCCGGCCACCGCGGGUGGCUCGAGGGACGUGCUGUUCCUGUUUUGACAAACACCUGUGCCUGAGUGCCCUUGAGAGGGGUACUGGGAUAUGAGGGAGGAUAGCUCCCAUUUGGGGGCUUCCUGGAAAAUCUAACGAUGAAUGUUCAAGCCAGCAGCCGCGGUAAUUCCAGCUCCAAUAGCGUAUAUUAAAGUUGUUGCAGUUAAAAGCUCGUAGUUGAAACUUGGGUUUGGUUGAUCGGUCCGCCUCACCGCGUGCAC